rnacentral:rRNA from 1 species
GAGACAGCAGCAGCCGCGGGAACACAGAGGAUGCAAGCGUUAUCCGGAAUGAUUGGGCGUAAAGCGUCUGUAAGUGGCUUUUCAAGUCCGCCGUCAAAUCCCAGGGCUCAACCCUGGACAGGCGGUGGAAACUACCAAGCUGGAGUACGGUGGGGGCAGAGGGAAUUUCUGGUGGAGCGGUGAAAUGCGUUGAGAUCGGAAAGAACACCAACGGCGAAAGCACUCUGCUGGGCCGACACUGACACUGAGAGACGAAAGCUAGGGGAGCAGAUGGGAUUAGAUACCCCCGUAGUCCCUGUCUCUUAUAC